UGACUGGUUAUCUUAAAUCAAUGUUUUAGUGGUUUGUUUAUUUCUAUAAGGCAUGCAUUGUUUAUGUUCGCUUGAAGAAAAUCUUUCUUAAAUUGAAGAAACUCUUAUCAAGAAUGUUACCUUUUAAUGCUUCCAAACGCGCAUAAGUCAAAACCAUUGGAACUAAAUCUUCAAUUGUGUUAAUAACAGCUAUGUCCUGCGGCCGCGUCAAAAUAUGUUUGUGUUUGUGGAAUAUCUGGGUCUGGUGCAAAAACAUUUUGUGGAAUAUCUGGAGCUGUUGUAAAAAAUGGUUUUGUUGUUGCAAAAACAAGCAAGAUGGAUCCAAUGUUCAGUUGUACUGCGAAAAUGGAUUGGAUGAGACUAUUCGUAUUAACCUAUUACGCAAAUUCAAGACCAUUAACUUCGUCAUAUGCGACACAAAGGCAAAAAUAACAGCUUCCGAGCCAUUGGUAGUACUGUGCACAUUUCAAACCAGGAUUGAAGAUUCAUGCAAUGCCGCAAUGGAAGAAUUACAAGAUUGUAAAUCGGUUGUCUUGGUGGUGUUUCGCCGAAUAAUCGGGAGCGUUACCAAAAAUAGCAUCGUUAGUGGCUGUUUUUAUGAACAUCCUGGAGUUAAGAAAACCAUUUAUGCCGGCUUCGACGGAAACAAAAUAUAUUUCUUAAGAACUGACGAGGAAUUUAUAAAAAACAAAGCAGAUAAAAUAGGAGAUGCGGAACCAUGUAUUUAACUGUAAGCUUACAAUUAUGUGUUGAUUUAAUAUUUAAAUCUUACAAACAUUGCCGGUACAAUAAUUUGAAUGGCCACAAUGUAUAUGCAAAACGUAUGUGAAUCCGUUGAGUGGAAGAUACAUAAUGCGAAAUAACCAUCAGGAGUGUUUCAAGGAUUUCACGUCAAUGUGCUCAUGCUCCUGAAACCGAAAAUAAUCACAACAUACAAGAUGGAAUACUUUUAUCUAGAAUGGUUCAUUGUGCUGCAUUUUAUGCAUAUUUUGUUUGCUCAUAUUGACAUUUAAAGUGAACAGUAUUACAGUGCGCGCGCAUGGUACAAACCCCGCUGGAUCCGUUUGUGACUUGACAUUAUUGUCCAAAAAAUACUUGUUGGUAAUACUGAAGUGUAAUGAAUCAAACUGUAUGCACUAAAACAUGACUUAAAAUUAAAUAAAUGUUAUAUAUGCAAUUCUAUAAGAAUAAAUUAUGAUGAAAAAUCUAUUUUUAUAAUCCAUUUGAACCAUAUGUUCAA